UACGUAGGUGGCAAGCGUUGUCCGGAUUUACGGGGCGUAAAGAGCGCGCAGGCGGUCGUUCAAGUCGCGUGUGAAAGCCCCCGGCUCAACUGGGGAGGGUCACGCGAUACUGAUCGACUGGAAGGCAGGAGAGGGUAGUGGAAUUCCCGGUGUAGUGGUGAAAUGCGUAGAGAUCCGGAAGAACACCGGUGGCGAAGGCGGCCCGCUGGGCAGUGACUGACGCUGAGGCGCGACAGCGUGGGGAGCAAACAGG
rnacentral:rRNA from 1 species